GGUUACUGCUAUCGGUGUUCGCCUAAGCCAUGCGAGUCGUAUGUUCGUAAGAACAUGGCGUACUGCUCAGUAACACGUGGAUAACCUGCCCUUGGGUCCGGCAUAACCCCGGGAAACUGGGGAUAAUUCCGGAUAACGCACAUAUGCUGGAAUGCUUUAUGCGUAAAAUGGAUUCGUCUGCCCAAGGAUGGGUCUGCGGCCUAUCAGGUAGUAGUGGGUGUAAUGUACCUACUAGCCUACGACGGGUACGGGUUGUGAGAGCAAGAGCCCGGAGAUGGAUUCUGAGACAUGAAUCCAGGCCCUACGGGGCGCAGCAGGCGCGAAAACUUUACAAUGCGGGAAACCGUGAUAAGGGGACACCGAGUGCCAGCAUCCUAUGCUGGCUGUCCGGGUGUGUAAAAUACACCUGUUAGCAAGGGCCGGGCAAGACCGGUGCCAGCCGCCGCGGUAACACCGGCGGCCCGAGUGGUGAUCGUGAUUAUUGGGUCUAAAGGGUCCGUAGCCGGUUUGGUCAGUCCUCCGGGAAAUCUGACAGCUUAACUGUUAGGCUUUCGGAGGAUACUGCCAGACUUGGAACCGGGAGAGGUAAGAGGUACUACAGGGGUAGGAGUGAAAUCUUGUAAUCCCUGUGGGACCACCUGUGGCGAAGGCGUCUUACCAGAACGGGUUCGACGGUGAGGGACGAAAGCUGGGGGCACGAACCGGAUUAGAUACCCGGGUAGUCCCAGCCGUAAACGAUGCUCGCUAGGUGUCAGGCAUGGCGCGACCGUGUCUGGUGCCGCAGGAAAGCCGUGAAGCGAGCCACCUGGGAAGUACGGCCGCAAGGCUGAAACUUAA
rnacentral:rRNA from 1 species